UAAAAUUAUAGCAAGAAUUUAGGCCUACUUGUUGUAUCUGAAUGUCUUUGAACAAUUUUCUUAGAAAUAUCAAACAUUAGAAGAAGCUUGCUCCACGUUAGUUGAAUUGAUGCUGAGAUGCAAUUUGAGCUGGAAGAUAAUGUCUGCUUCACUUCAAAGAACUGCAAAAGAGGAUGAGUGUAACCAAAUGGGCAGCAAUUUGAAGAUGGAGACACUUAAGAGAAGACUUCAUGGAAAAGGCUUUCCAGAAGGCCCCUUGAAUGUCCACAUGGUGGCACUGCAUCUUUAAAGACUGUUGCAGAAUGCUAACAGACAGAAAAUCAUCCAUUGGGGUGCUACGGACUCAGGGACCAUCCACUCAGACAGUCAGUCAGUCCAAUAGGAAAAAGUUAUAUUUUCUAGCUAAUGUGUUAGGUCCUAC